rnacentral:tRNA from 1 species
GCCCAGGUAGCUCAGUUGGUAGAGCAUCGCAUUGAAAAUGCGGGUGUCGGCGGUUCAAGUCCGUCCCUGGGCACCA